rnacentral:misc_RNA from 1 species
UGCCCGGUCGUUCAACUAUGGAAGUGAUCUUUCUCAUUAGAAGCUUGAUAGAGAAAUACAGAGAUGUGAAGAAAGAUCUACGCAUAGUUUUUAUCGAUUUGGAGAAUGCUUAUGACAGUGUUCUAAGAGAUGUCUUAUGAAGAGUGUUAGAACAAAAGAGAGUAUCUAUUAGGUACAUACAAGUGGUGAAAGAUAUGCAUGAAGAAGCAACUACUAUUUUGCGCACAGUGGGAGGGGACACA